GAUGAACGCUGGCGGCGUGCCUAAUACAUGCAAGUCGAGCGAACAGACGAGGAGCUUGCUCCUCUGACGUUAGCGGCGGACGGGUGAGUAACACGUGGAUAACCUACCUAUAAGACUGGGAUAACUUCGGGAAACCGGAGCUAAUACCGGAUAAUAUAUUGAACCGCAUGGUUCAAUAGUGAAAGACGGUUUUGCUGUCACUUAUAGAUGGAUCCGCGCCGCAUUAGCUAGUUGGUAAGGUAACGGCUUACCAAGGCAACGAUGCGUAGCCGACCUGAGAGGGUGUUCGGCCACACUGGACCUGAGACACGGUCCAGACUCCUACGGGAGGCAGCAGGAGGAAAUCUGCCGCAAUGGGCGAAAGCUUGACGGAGCAACGCCGCGUGAGUGAUGAAGGUCUGCGGAUCGUAAAACUCUGUUAUUAGGGAAGAACAAAUGUGUAAGUAACUAUGCACGUCUUGACGGUACCUAAUCAGAAAGCCACGGCUAACUACGG
rnacentral:rRNA from 1 species